rnacentral:rRNA from 1 species
GUGUCAGCAGCCGCGGUAACACGUAGGGGGCAAGCGUUGUUCGGAAUUAUUGGGCGUAAAGGGCAUGUAGGCGGUUUGGUAAGCCUGAUGUGAAAUCCUGCAGCUUAACUGUAGAAUUGCAUUGGGUACUGCCGAACUUGAAUCACUGAGGGGAAACUAGAAUUCCAGGUGUAGGGGUGGAAUCUGUAGAUAUCUGGAAGAAUACCGGUGGCGAAGGCGGGUUUCUAGCAGAUGAUUGACGCUGAGGUGCGAAAGUGCGGGGAGCGAACAGGAUUAGAUACCCUGGUAGUCCGCACCGUAAACGAUGUACACUAGGUGUCGGGGCAUGAGUCUCGGUGCCAAAGCUAACGUAAUAAGUGUACCGCCUGGGAAGUAUGCCCGCAAGGGUGAAACUCAAAUAAAUUGACGG